rnacentral:lncRNA from 1 species
CUGAACCAGAGUUUGCCAAGCCCUGGAUCAGCAUCUGCAGCAGGCGGGCUCCUGGAUGAUUCAGCGUAGCCAGAAACGGGACCAGGCUCGGUGCCCUCGUCUCUGCCACAGGCAAUAUUGUCAUUUCCUAAUUCACUGGGCUGAUGGUUGUGAGGAAGAAAUGAAGUCAUGUGUGAAGGAGUGUUUUAUAGACAUUAAUUUAACCAAGAUAGUGUGCCAGAAUUUCCAAAACAUACCAUAUUCUAAAGAUUCUUGGUUUGUACAUUUUUUCAGCUUUAUUGAGAUAUAGUAGACAUGAAACAUUGUGUAAGUUUGUGUAACAUUGUAUAGACAGAGUGUAUGAUGUGUUGAUUUGACACAUUUCUAUACUGCAAAAUGAUUCCCAUCUUAGCAUCCAGCUCCAUCCCAUCACGAUUACUUUUUUUUUUGUGAUAAGAACAUUUAAGAAUUACUCUGUUAGGAACAUUCAAGUAUACAAUACAGUAUCAUUAGCUAUAAUCACCAUGCUGUCCACUAGAUCCCCAGAACUUGUUAAUCUUAUACGUUAUUUCAGCAGAUGAAGACGGUUCUGUUUUCGAGGAUUGCAUAUGUAAAACAUUAUUGUGUAGAAGAGAUUUGACAUUUAAUUUAUCUAAUUUAUUUUUCAAAUUACUAUUGAUUGGGUUCCCUGUUCUCGUGGACAAUUUAGAAAACACAGCCACAAAUAAAAUCCUCUUUCUUUCAAUCCCACCAUUCUUGCAAAUACUGUGUAAUCAGGUGCGGGACACCUGCCCGCGCCUGUGAGCGUCUGAUCGUCUUUCCCAGUGAAUUCGGUCUCACCUCCUGCUGAGCACGCCGGUUCAACACUGGAGGAUUAGAUUUCUGUCCUCGACCGGGUCCCGCUCACCUCGGGAGAAGCAGGAUAAAUGAUCAGCCUCGGGCGGGUGUGCAGCUGUGGACCAGAGCGCAGCCCGGUGACCCGAGCGCGCGGGGCCCUCGCUGGGCGCCCCCUCCCUCUCCCCGCGCCGCCUCCAGCGCGAGUGACAACGCGCCCUCCGGGCUCGGGAGCGGCGGCGUCGGACGACCCUGGGCAGGGCUCGCCUCUAGGGGGCAUCAGUCCUAGAGCUGAUUCCACGCUCCCAGCUCCUGGUUUUGUGAGACGUCGGUCGGUUAGUCCGUUUGUCUGUCCGCCCUGGAGAGGACUCAUCGCCGGCCUGGGACAGAACCGAGCACCAAAAAGUGACCGAAUCCAGAGGAGGCAAGAGAUUGAGGCAGCGAGGGAAGGAGGCCCCGGCAGGCGACAGCAUGCAGUUCAGCCCGGCGCUGUACCUGCCGCCUCUGCUGCCGGCGCUGGUCCUCAGCACCAGAUUUACCCAUGGUGCUGCAUAAACCAGUGAGCAGCUCAUGUCUUUUUAUCACAAAUCCUCCGUUGUAUCGAUACACAACAAUUUAUUUAUUCACUCACCGGUUGAUGGACAUUUCGUUGUUUCCAGUUGUUGGCUGUUGUGAAUAAAUUUGCUAUGGAUAUGUUCAUUCAAAGUCUUUUGGUGAACUCAGGUUUUCAACUUCCUUGGAUUCUCCCUUUUAGUGUUCUAAAGUUUGCUAUUGAGUUUGGAAAGGUCUCAACUUAGGAAAAAGAUGGCAGAUGAAAGAAAGCAAGACCACAUAUGAAAGGUGAAGAUAAUGAGCAUCUGGGAAAGGUGAGGCUGAGGAGGUGAUGGAAUUGCUCUGAUCCAGGAAAUGAAGUCAACAGAAAACUGAAACUAUAUUCAGGAAAAAUAAAGACCUUGGAUUGUGGCACCAGGCUUUGAUAUUUUCCUUAAAGUCAGGAGGAGAAAACCUAGAACAGUGGUUCAGUCUGGCUGACUUUAGAAUCGCCUGGAAAGCUUUAAAGCUAGAACUUCCAGUACAAUGUCAGAAUGGAGUGGUGAGAGCAGACAUCCGGUCUGGUUCCUGAUCUUAAUGAUAAAGCUUUGAGUUUCUGACCAUGAAGUAUGGUGGUAACUGUGGAUUUUUACAGAUGCUGUUUCUCAAGUUGAACAAGUUCCCUGGUUAUAAGGGCUUUAAUCUCUUCAAGUGUGCACCUAAAGAGUCUGUUGUUGGGAGACAGUUUUUGAAUAUAAGGUGUUGCUCUAGUCCGGAGCCCUUCAUCUUAGGGCGCAGAAGACUGAGGUUCAGAGUUUUUGAGACUUCUCCAAGGCCACAGAAGGAACUCGAAACUAGAACCCAGAACUUUCUACAAAAUGUGUUCUUUUCUAUCACGUGACUACUCUCCAUGACAUAUAUCUUCUGUUAUCAACCACUGUGUAUAUAGUUGGUAUCUACAAGGUAUCCAGAACUAUUCUAGUCAUUACGGCAUGUAAAGUAAUUGAAAAACUAAUUCUCUGACUAUAUGGAAUAACUGGAUAGAACAAAGUUAGAAGUUAAUUUCCACUUGUUGGCUUGAAUUCAGUUGAUCCGUGAAGACUGAGUUGCCCUAAAAUUGAUUCUAGGUCAUUUUAGAAACCCAAAGCAGAAACAUUAAUGAAUUCUCACCAUUAAAAUUGUUUUCCUUUCAAGAAUGCAACUAUAGUGGUUCUUAUUGACCUUUUAGUUGGAGUUUUAAAUGAUAUUUUGGUACGUUUAAGAGCUAGCUAUUCACUGAAAUUAUUUCCUGAAACAACAGUUCACAACUGUUUGCUCAUAUUCCUAACCUACGAAAUCCACGUUGCCAAUUUGUGGGAUUGCUCAACAGGCAGCCUACUAUCUGGCAAGGAUUAUGGAAUAAUCCUUGAAUAAGUGGAAAAGAAUAAACAUAUUCUUGUUCAGCUUUAAUACAAGGCUUAAUUGAAUUUUUUUGCUUUAUAUGUAUAUUUCUCUUUAGGCAGAGAGAUGGUGCCUUAAGAAAAGGCAGAGGUGAAAGGAUUGAAUCUUUAUACAAUUUGACAAGGCUGGAGGACUAGCUGGUUUGGGUCAGAACAGCAUAUGGUGGCAUGAACCUUGCAGAUUUUGCCCUUCUCCACCCUGUGAUCUUCAUUCACCCCUGGUGUUAUGGUUGUGAAUAUGUUACUUUAUGUGGCAAAAGAGACUUUACUAAUGGAACUAAUGUUGGUAGUCAGCCAACUUUGAGACAUGGAGAUUUUCCUGGAUUAUCCAAGUGAGCCCCAUGUAAUCAUAUGGGCCCUUAAAAGUGCAAGAAGAAAUUAGAACAAUGCAGUAGAAGAAACGUGAAAGAAGAGAUGCUUCGGAGAGAUAAGGCAGAAAAGAGGCAGAGAGAUUUGAAGAAUAAGAGGGAUAUUAUCUUCUGUUACUAGCUUUGAAGGGUUCCAUGAGCUGGGAAAUCUUGGCAGACUCUAGAAACUGGGGAGGCUCCCCACCAAUAGCCAGCUAGGAAUCAGGGACCUAAGUCCUAGAGCACUUCAUUCAUUAUGGAAGUGAAUUCUGGUGACGAUUUGAAAUAAGCCUGGAAACAGAUUCUCCCCUGGAGCCCAGGGGAAUGGAAAUGGAAGAAAUGACGUCCUGCUAACACCUUGCUUUCAACCCAAUGAUGUUCAGAGCAGAGAACCAAGUGAGCCAUCCUGGGCCCAGAUCUGGGACCUACAGAACUGUGAGAUGAUCAAUUUGUGUUGCUUUGAGUCAGCCAAUUAGUGGUAAUUUGUUAAAGUGACAACAGAAAAUUAAUAGACUUCAUGAAUUUCUUUUUAGAACCUAAAUGACUGUUUAGAGAAACUUUAUCAAACUACAGCUCAUAGGCCAAACCCAGGUCACUGCCUGUUUUUGUAUAGCCUGAGAGCUAAGAAAGAUUUUACGUUUUUAAGUGACUAAAAAAAAAAUUAAAAAAUAUUUCGCAGAUCAUGAAAUUCAAAUGUAUCUAUAAAUAAAGUUUUAUUGGA